AAAUACAAAUAUAAAUGACUCGUAUAUUUAGCGGUAAUAUGGUCCGCAAGUUUCUACCUACUAACCAUAAAUUAGUAGACUACGAGGUAUAGUUUAAUU
rnacentral:ncRNA from 1 species